CCCGCCCCCAGGGGCGUGGCAGGGGUGGCUGCUUGUCUCCUAUGCAUCAGUAGGUGGCAGAGAGGAGAGAGAGUAUGUCUACACUCAGUGAAUAUCUGUAGUAAGAUUAGCAGCCUAUCACUCUCUGAAAAAAAAGUCUGACAUG
rnacentral:snoRNA from 1 species